UACAGAGGGGGCAAGCGUUAUUCGGAAUUAUUGGGCGUAAAGGGCGCGUAGGCGGUGCGGUAAGUCACCUGUGAAACCUCUAGGCUCAACCUAGAGCCUGCAGGCGAAACUGCCGUGCUUGAGGGUGGGAGAGGUGCGUGGAAUUCCCGGUGUAGCGGUGAAAUGCGUAGAUAUCGGGAAGGAACACCGGUGGCGAAGGCGGCAUCCUGGACCAACACUGACGCUGAGUGAGCGAAAGCCAGGGGAGCAAACGGGG
rnacentral:rRNA from 1 species